rnacentral:rRNA from 1 species
UGCCUACGGGGCGCAGCAGUGGGGGAUAUUGCACAAUGGGGGAAACCCUGAUGCAGCGACGCCGCGUGUGGGAAGACGGUCCUCUGGAUUGUAAACCACUGUCCCCAGGGACGAAGAUGACGGUACCUGGGGAGGAAGCUCCGGCUAACUACGUGCCAGCAGCCGCGGUAAUACGUAGGGGGCAAGCGUUAUCCGGAUUUACUGGGUGUAAAGGGAGCGUAGACGGCGAUGCAAGCCAGAUGUGAAAGCCCGGGGCUCAACCCCGGGACUGCAUUUGGAACUGUGUGGCUGGAGGGUCGGAGAGG